rnacentral:rRNA from 1 species
GGUUGCGAUCAUACCAGCACUAAUGCACCUGAUCCCAUUAGAACUCCGCAGUUAAGCGUGCUUGGGCGAGAGUAGUACUAGGAUGGGUGACCCCAUGGGAAGUCCUCGUGUUACAACCCC